rnacentral:rRNA from 1 species
GAUCCUGGCUCAGGACGAACGCUGGCGGCGUGCCUAAUACAUGCAAGUCGAACGAGAGCGACCGGUGCUUGCACUGGUCAAUCUAGUGGCGAACGGGUGAGUAACACGUGGGUAACCUGCCCAUCAGAGGGGGAUAACAUUCGGAAACGGAUGCUAAAACCGCAUAGGUUCUUGGGUCGCAUGACCCGAGAAGGAAAAGAGGCUUCGGCUUCUGCUGAUGGAUGGACCCGCGGUGCAUUAG